CAGAGUUCGUGCCCUCACGGGUAGAUCUCCCACCCUGUGUUAUUAUACCUUUGUUGCUUUGGCGGGCCGCCCUCGGCUACCGGCCCCGGCUGGUACGCGCCCGCCGGAGGUAUCUAACUCUUGAACUUUUAUGGCCUCUCUGAGUCUUUGUACUUAAUAAGUCA
rnacentral:misc_RNA from 1 species